UAGUCUGGGAUACCACUUGGAAACAGGUGCUAAUACCGGAUAAUAAAGCGGAUCGCAUGAUCAGCUUUUAAAAGGCGGCGUAAGCUGUCGCUAUGGGAUGGCCCCGCGGUGCAUUAGCUAGUUGGUAAGGUAAAGGCUUACCAAGGCGAUGAUGCAUAGCCGAGUUGAGAGACUGAUCGGCCACAUUGGGACUGAGACACGGCCCAAACUCCUACGGGAGGCAGCAGGC
rnacentral:rRNA from 1 species